UGGUCGACUAGUUAGGCAAUAAGCUAAAUUAUAUCCUUUUUCACUGUUUCAUCAAAAGUUGACCUAGGAUGAACUGUUGGAAUUAGUGAUUGAAUCCUCAGUUUGGCGAUGCAUAGAAAGGUUUGGCGCUGUGCCAAUUUUCCUUUACAAUGCUUUUGUGUAUUUUUAUCUCCAAUCUUCCAUAUUUUUGCUUCUUCUUGCCAUUUCAAUCAAUUCUUGUCCUUAACCCUGAAAUUAAACAAAAGCAACACUAAAAUGCAUUCAAAUUAGCAUUAAGGACAUGAUUUCUUACCAUCUUUAGGUCAAAUGAGUCAUAAUUUUUCAACUCAUCAGCACCCCAACUUAAAUCUUUGCUUGACCUUGAGUAUAUGAAUGCACACAACAAAUUGAUAUUGCCCAUAAAUGGUACUAACAGGAAGAUUAUACAUAUACUUCUUUUGUGAAAGACUUUGCCCUAUAAUUUUUUAAAAUAAUGGCACAAGUCUCACCUGUCAAACACCCGUAUUAUGAAUAACGAGCCUCAAAUGUUGACUAAAUUUUACCAUAGCUCGCACAUGUUCAUAGACUCCAACCAAGAUCCAAGAGUGAACUAGUAAUGUAAUCAAGAGCCCUCAAAUAAAGAAGUCAUUUCCCACAAAAAUAAAUUAUCAUUAAAAGAAUGACUAUCAUUAAUUACUCAAGCUAAAAAAGAUGAUCAUGCAUAUGAGAACCGCGCCAUAGGCUUUCUAAUAAGCUCUAUUUCACUAUGUUCAUGCAUGCUACUUUAGAGAUUACUAUGGUUUUGCUUCGUCUUAUAACUUAGGCAUUGGGCAAGGGAGGGAAAGUAAAGCUUAUAGCGACUUUACCUUCUCAAAACAUUUAAGGAGACCUCGAUCACACUUAUUUCCCAAAGCUUAUUCUUCAAAUUUAUUCAUGUACCAAUUCUCAAAUGUUUUCAUGCUAUUUUCCCCUCCUAUAUUCUCAUUCACAAAAACUUCUUAUUAAUACACUAACAUAAUUUACACUAGUUUUUCAAAUCCUCUUCAAGCUUUUUCCUCUUUUUCUUAACUAUUCACAUAGGGAAUACUAGGAUACUCAGGAGGGAGGCAAUGUUAUCAAUCCUUAAAUCUAAGAAUUAUGUAUCACAAGUCUCACCCGAGAUCUCCACUACCCCCAAAAUAGUUUUUUGACCUAAGUUGAUUUUCGGUCUUACCUAAAUGCUUCAAGAAGGGUUAGGUUCAAAAUAGGGGACUUUAAAAAAUGGGUUUUGACGUGUAAUGAGGUUAUCCAAGAAAAAGAGUUCCGAGGCUUGAAUUUGGGACAGUCACUCAACUUAUAAUGGGAUAACUAUUAUGGUGAAAUUGGAGGUUCACUCUUAAUCAAAGGCCUAGGAUCACUUCUCCAACAUCGCACAUUCUUAGCUUCAGAAUUAAAGCAUCCAGGCAAGUUCUAGGUGGAUUCAAUGAGAAAUAUCAAGUAGAACUCUCACCCACACAUGGCAUUUAAUCCCAUACCCCAAGAACCCUUCCUCAAUUUAUGUACCAAAUUCAUAACACAUGUCGAUAAAGGAACCCAAGUAGUUAAAUUAAAAUAUGGGUUUUCACAAAUAAUAAGUGCCUAUCUAGCUAAAAUUAACCAAAGAAAAUUUUUAAAAUGGGGAACAUUUUGAAAAAUAGUGCAAUUCAUUGCAUAAUGAUUUAUUACUUUCAAGAGUUGAGCAUGUGAACAUCUCCCCAAGAAUACUAUUUGAGUCAAAAUUUUCUAUUGCUAGUUUUUAUUUUCGACUAAUUAUGAGCUACAAAGCUACAAAUGAAAAGUAAAGAAAUAAAAAUAAAGCAUCAUACAUCACACAUUCAAAUAUUACAAACCAAAUGAAAUAUCAAAAUGAUAUCCAAAUCACAAUCACCAUAACACCCCGAAGUAAUAUCCAAACAUAUCUCAAUUAAUGUAUCUGACGAACCAAAUAUCAAAACCUAAAUAUUACAAAUCCAAAAUAAAUACCUCUCUCCAACUAGAAAAUAUGCAUUAUAUUAAAUGCAAUAGGACUAAAAUAAGAAUAAGAGAAUGAGUGUAAAUGUCCCUCUAUGCAUGGCUAUGUCUACGACGGUGAGUGGCCCAUAGAAGUGACCAGUGUCUAGGCAUCAGUGCAUGACUCAGCUCCAAACAUGUACUGUAAGACUAGAUCUAGUACAUUAUCCUCGAUCUAUAUGGUGGAAACAAAAAUAGAGGCCCUAAUCUAUGUUAUCUGGAUCAUCAACCUCUCUAAUGUAGUAACAAGUAGAGCAUCAUUUAUCUCCUGCCUAUCUGCUCAUCUAUCUGGGCAAACUAAGGAUCAUAUCGUAUCCCAAUCUAGCUGUGAUCCUCAAAAUAGCCCUCAAUAUUAGCAUUAUUAACAUCUUCAUCUAAAUCCCAAUCAUUCUCAUCUACCUGCUUCUCCUCAGAUGUUAGAUCAUCAUAAUGAAUAUGUUCAGGAACUAGAGUCGGUGUUUCAGAUAAUGCUCCCCAUAAAAGUGUUAAAUACGAAAGCUAUAUCAUCAUGCAUUUUAGUCACUACCUCAGUCAUUGAAAUAUGCUGAGGAGCACUUAAAUUAUGUAAUCUCCUAUCAAACAAUCGUAGGGUCUCCCAAACACCUCGUAGAUCCUCAUGUACCAGCUCCAUGAAAGCUUUCACCACAAUAACAAUCAUCCCAAGUAUCUCAUUAUCAAAUCUAUCUAACCUCAUAUCACUUAUAUAAGCUAACUACCCCAUUUAGAUAAUGUUAGCCUGAGUCAAUGGGGCUUUCGAAGAGCCUGGGAUAGUAGAAAGCUGAGGACCAGGGGCACCGAGAUUAGGCGAUUGUGAUGUACCCGAGGAUGGAACUAGAGGAGAAAGAGCUGUAACUGAACCAGGGGUAGGCACUGUAGCAGUACCAAGAGUGGGAUGGUUGGCACCACUAUCAGAAGAACUAAAAUCCAUUAUCAGGGAAUCAUUCGCUUGAAGUUUCUUCUUCUUUACUUCUUGAACAUGCUCAAGUAUUGUAAUAUCCACUAUAGAGGUAGGGUAUACUCAAAAUACUUUUUCUUAUUAAUAGGAACAUUGGCACAUCAUCAUAAUUGAUAAUCAAACACAAGAAUUCAAGGAGGUUUUCUUUUUCUAGGCCCAACAAAUAAUGUUUGGUGCAAUAGUUGAAGCCAAAUUUAAACCCUACUUUACAAUGAUAGUGGCGAAAAGCACUUCGUAAGGAUACACAAGUAUCAACUUGUUUUUGGAAGUCAACAAAUUGCUACAAAUAAAACUUAACCAAUAUUGAGCCUAUAAAUGAAUAUCUUUUUUUUUUUUUGAAUUUGUACCUUUGAUUCAAGCCAUGGAGGUGUGCUAUUACUUAGAAAAGGGGCCAACUAAGCCCACAACUUAGCCACUAGGUUCCUAAUUAUAGUAUCAAAGUAAUGAAUAUUCAACAUUUUACCUCCCAAAAUCUUAUUUAUUAUUAUCUUGCCACAACAAACAUCCACACCUUUCACCGAACAACCUCUCUUAUAUCUUAUAGUCCCCUCUUUCUCUUAGCUGACAAAAGCUUCCUAUAUACUGCUUAUAACCCCCUAACCUAAUUUUCAACAUAAGGCUUCAAGUGUUCAAUGAAUACCCAAAAUUCAUUAUAUUUCAAUAUUGAUCGCACCUUGGGAUGAUUACCUUCCAAGUCAUUUAGGCUUGGUUGUUGCUCCUUAAUGAUAGUGCGCUGAUUAGGAACCUUAAAAUAGUUGAGGACAUGAUGUCCCCCGUGCGGAUAGGUUGGAAGAUUUUUUGUAGUAGUGGAGGGUUGUUAGACUCCCUUUUCUUUAGAGAAGCACCCUCAAAAGAAUGUAAUGGCUGAUGAAUAGGGGUACUAUUCCCCUUCUUUGAGGAAUUAAGAUUGUACCUCUUGGAGUUUGAGUUAUGCUAAGAUCUUUCAUCCUUAUUUAUCAGGGUGUUAGACAUACUUUUCUUUUAUACACCUUUUUUGCUUUGAACCUUCAUUAAUUAUUAAUGCCUUUGAAAUCUUUGACUUUGGAGGAGGGAGAGAUCCUGCUUCUUUCUUUACCACAUGCUUAUUGUGAGUCAUAUUUGCACAUAAGAGCAGUAAAAGGCACUAUCAAAUUUAAAAAGACAACAUAAAAAUAUUUCCAAAAUGGCAUCACCAAAUAAAUUGGUGCAUAAAUAAUCAAUUUAGUGAUGCGAAUGACUAUGCUGAUAUGUACAUAAAUAAAUAUGGGUGAUCAACAAAGGAAGGUAGGGUUAUGUUAACAUUGAAGGAUUCGAGGAUACUUCUUGAGAAUCUUCAAAUCACUAGGGCAUCACUGAAUCACACCUUGAAUAACUUGCCUCAUUGCAACUAUUAGUGAUAUGGGGAGCACUUUGGCGAUAACACCACAUGGUUUGGUGGAUCACCGAAGUUCUUAUCCUAUAGACAAUAGUUUUCUACCCGAAUAUAAACUUUUUUAAUUUAUGAGCCUUUAAUGGUGAUUUCAAUUCCCAACACCGUGGGUACUUAAAAUUCCUCAUUUUUCAACAAUAAAACAAUUUGUAUGACAAUUUUUCCCUUAAGAACGAUGUCAUCAAAUUUAUCAUUGGAAAAAAAUUAGUUGAUUUCAAAUUCAUUGAACUAAAUGUCACGACUAUUCGACUCCCAUUUCAUUAAAAAUUAAACCACAAUAUAGACUUGAUUGACAAUUAAUCAAUUAAAGACCAAAACUCAACAAGUUAACUGUAAUCUAACAAGAAUCUGAUUCAUCUCUACACAUUCAACAAGAGCUUCUAUAAAAAAAAAAAUAAAGAAAAUCUAUCCAAAACAAACCCAAAACAAAGACUUUAAUAUAAAUAUGACCGUAAUCUAUAAGUAAUGGAAUUGAAAUUGAAACUGAUUCUAACCUUCAAGGUUUAAGAGAAAAACUCAACGACAAAGAGGGGAAGGCGUAAAACUCCAGUGAUUAUGGUGCUCGUGUG
rnacentral:lncRNA from 1 species